rnacentral:tRNA from 1 species
UGGGUUGUGGCUCAGCGGUAGAGUGCUCCUAUACUGCAUGUGAGGCCCUUGGUUCAAUCCUUAGCACCAUAU